GUCGCUUACGUUGCUUAGGUAUUCUCAUAACACAAUGUAACAGUGCUUUACUAUCUAGUCGUGAAAUUAUUAUGCUGUGUCCAGAACUAGUGUGUGAAUGCAAGCUAAGUUUAGGUUUAAGGAUGAGGUUACAACGUGUAUAGGCACAUGCAAUUAAACCAAGUGCUGCAGAAUUAGGACAUGUGGUGCUAUACGCUAGCUUAAAUUCCAUGCUAAUGGCAGGUAAGUCCCUAUAUCCUGUUGUACUUUCCAACUUUAUAUUCUACUGAGUUUACUAGUUGCCAAACUAUGCUUAGAUGACCAAUCUUACUAGGUUAGAGUUACAAUAUAUAAGAGCUGCAGUCAUGCUUGGGUUUUUCCACCCCAGGUUAACCCCCCAGCCACUAGACAAAAGUCAGAGGUUUCUCGCUGUGGGCUCUGCCUGUGAAGUAUGUGGGCAGCAGAGGGACGAGAGCCAAGGUAUGGCCAUGUUAGGCUCAGUCCAGGCAAGUGGCUUGGUGACAGUCCCCACGAUGUGUACUUGCGAUUUGUAGUCCUGUGCUUGCCUCUGGUGGGAGGCAGGACCCUGCAGGUCCGAGCGUGUCGGCUUCCAUGUGUUGCUCUGAGAGGCUCAGCUUACAGGGCUUCAUCGCUGGGGGAUCUCCUUCUGCGAGCUCGCUUAGGUGGUCUGGACUGAUAGGUCAUUGGCGCCGGCCCCCGCCAGUCUUAUGCGAUGCCGC